UGGCAUGCUGCAGUCCACGGGAUCGUAAAGAGUUGGACACAACUGAGUGACUGAACUACACUCUGAAUGUCCUAGUCAGUCAUUUCACCAAUUCCUUCAGAACUCUGAAAUCUAAUUUUUCCGUCUGACAUUUCUUCUGCCAUUUCUGACCUGCCAGUAACCAAGAACUACCUCACUGCUCCAUACACUUCAUGAGUCCCAUCUGACCUAUCUAAACCUUGAAGCUUGGAAGAAAGGAUGUACAGUACAUUUUGAAUGAAGCAGAAAUCUCAGGAUCCUCAAGUCUACAGAGAAUUGAGAGAAAACUUUCAGUUGUUAAAAUUCUGGACUUCUAAAGGCCUACUCUUUUAUUUGACUCUCAGUAAGCAGAAAUCCUUUCUCCCCAAGAGAGGUGGAUGCUCACUGAGCUGCAGAAAGGUAAAUCUGGAGCCCACGCUCUGACCCUAACGUCAGCCCUCGGCCUGCUUGGGUCAACUCCAGAUGAGGAAACAACUAAGCCAGCAUGUCACUGCUUUAACACAGUAUUCUCCAGUUACCAAAGAGUGGCAUGUUUGUUCCACUAGUUAGUUGUAUGAAUUUUUAAAAUUAUCCUGAUUUAGUUCACAUAUAGAACUAUUAAAGUUCAAAUUUUAUACAAUUUUACGGUACUGGAUUUGAAAAA